rnacentral:rRNA from 1 species
GUCUUUUUGAUUAAAUAAAAAGUCUAGCCUGCCCGGUGAAUUUUUAACGGCCGCAGUAUACUGACUGUGCAAAGGUAGCAUAAUCUAUUGUCUUUUAAUUAAAGGCUUGUAUGAAUGGUUGAAUGAGAUAUUAACUAUUUUUAUUUUAAUAAAAAUGAAUUUUAAUUUUUAGUAAAAAUGCUAAAAUAAAAAAAUUAGACGAGAAGACCCUAUAAAUCUUAAUUUUAUUUUUUAUAAUAUUAAUUUUGAAAAUUUUUAAUAAAUUAUAAAAAUAAAAUUUUAUUGGGAGGAUAAUGAAAUUUAAUAAACUUUUAUUUUUUUUUAUAAAUAUAAUUAAAUUAUUGAAUAUAUAAUUAUAAAAUAUUUAAAAAAUUAAGUUACUUUAGGGAUAACAGCGUAAUUAUUUUAAAGAGUUCUUAUCGAUAAAAUAGUUUGCGACCUCGAUGUUGAAUUAAGAAUUAAUUUAGGUGUAGAAGUUUAAAUUUUAAGUCUGUUCGACUUUUGAAUU